AUUCAGAUGACGAGUCCCAAAUAGAAUGAAACACGUGUCCUGGAU
rnacentral:hammerhead_ribozyme from 1 species